rnacentral:rRNA from 1 species
UACGGAGGAUCCAAGCGUUAUCCGGAAUUACUGGGCGUAAAGAGUUGCGUAGGUGGCAUAGCAAGCAUACAGUGAAAUCGUCCCGCUCAACGGGAUACCCAUUGUAUGAACUGCUAAGCUUGAGCAUGAGAGAGGUAGAUGGAAUUUCUAGUGUAGGAGUGAAAUCCGUAGAUAUUAGAAGGAACACCGAUGGCGUAGGCAGUCUACUAGCUCAUUGCUGACACUAAGGCACGAAAGCGUGGGGAGCGAACGGG